GAAAAAAAUAUAUAUUCCUAUUGUGUCAGGUUACAUAUUUUUCUAAAAUGUAUGCACCUGUUAUUCUCGUAUUAGACGUAUACUUGUUUAUUAUUUUUUGAGACAUUUUCAUUUUCCAGACUUUUUAAAUGUCUAAAGGGUUUCCAAUGAAAGUACAGUUUCCAAUUAGUCAUUGUUAUUAUCAUGUAUUUGAUGUCAAAAAGUCCAUAACUCUUUUUGACUUUAUAAACAACCUUUUUUAAGCUUAAGAUGUUCAUUUCAUCGUAUUGAUUUAUUUUUGUUGUUCAAAUAUCAGUUUAGUCUUCUCAAUAGCCAAUUUUGUUUAAUUUACAUUGUAGUGUAAUAUGAUUUAUUUAGUUUGCACUCUUUACUGCAUAACAACAAACGAGUAUUUUCUCGUACUUGUAUAGAAUGUAAUUUGAUUUAACUCUCAGAUGCUACUAUU
rnacentral:sRNA from 1 species